CUCCGUGUCCUCCUUCUCUCUCCUAGAAGCCUCGCUGUUUCCAAGCCGGUCCUCUUCUCAGUCCUCCUGGAUCCUCCCCUCGACUGCUCGCCUGCCUGUCCACCCUCUGGAGCUCUCAAGUCUAAGCCCUCCAUCUCUGUCUAAGACUCAAUCUCAGUGGGCUCUUCCAACCUCCCCUCCAGCUGCACCGCUCUCCAAGAACUUUCCUGAAGAAGCCGCUGUUAUCCGAACCAUCACGCCAGGCUGAACUUUAUUCUGUAAAA